GGCGGUGAACUUGAGCCAGCAGCGGUUAACCCGGCCCGGGGUUCUGGGCCUCAGCCGGCGCCAGCAGCUCCCUCAGGUGGGGCGCAAGCCUCAGCGCGCCGCCCUUCUCCGCUCUGCUCCUCCAACCCGCCCUUAGAUAGGGCGGCGGCCCCGAGGACCCCUUUCCCAAGGGCGUCGGCCGGGAGCCUGGAGUCUGAAGGAGUGGCGGGAGAUGGGGACGCGAGUCCCGGGACGCCGACAGUCUCUAAGGCGUUGCUGCGUGGCUUUGGUACACAGAGCCUCGACCGCUUCUCCCAGCGCGGCAAGCACAGCUUGCCUUCAUCGCGCCCCAUCGGGGAAGCGGAUGGAGAAGCAAAGACAGACAGACAGACAGACAGACAGGCACGCGGCGGCGGGGCUAGCCUGAAACUCGAGCGUCUCCAAGCCCCCCACCCCCACCCCACCCUACCCUAGGGCACGGCGCUGCAGAUGCCAGAUCCCCGACCGGAGGCGGUAGAGAUGGGCAGGGCAAAGAACGCGCGCGCCGCUCGAGGCUCGUCCGCGCUUUUCCCGCGCGUGGCCUUCCUCUUGCGCCCCUGCACCUUCAAUUUACCUUAUGCAGGGCGCCCCGCGAGCUGCGGGCGGAGGCGCAGAGCCGAAGCCCGGAGGACAGGAGUUUGAGAGCCGCCAUCUUCGGCCCCGGGUGCGGGAGGAGGUGGCGAGGUGGCGCGCGCGGGAGUGCGUGCGAGUGCUGGUUGCCGGGGGCCGCGGCGGCGUCACCGGCUAAGGAGAGAAGAAGGCAAGGCGAGCGGUGGGGCGGGCUGGAGGCUCGACCGCGCGUCAGUGACGUCCUCGGGACCUCAGAGCGGUGCCGCCCCUUGCUGCCUGCUGGCUUGUCAAGAAGCGAGACAGGGAGGGGCCCACGGCUAGGAAUGGAAAGGCUGCACAGCCAGGACGAGCCCCGCGGGUUGUGGCUCGGGCUCCUCUGCGGGCACACCCGCAGCGGCGGGCGCCGCACUCAGGCUGGAGGGGGCGCUAGUGCCUGCCUUCCCCUUGCGCAAGGCUUGGCAUCCACCAGGGUUUCGGGUUCCCAAGGGCCUGGAGGGUCUCUUACUGAACGUGUUACUUUUCCAAGUCGCCCUCUGGAAUGAGUACAGGUACAAAGGGUCACUGAUAAAGAUCUCCUCCCAGAUCUAGACAGCUCACCUUUCCAACAUUUCUCAACCACCGCCCCCGCCCCCCAACUCUCUUCAAGUCUGGUUUUGCCCUUAGUUUCCUCUGAAACCCAGCAGUGUGCUGACUGACCCUCAUGAGACAUGACCUGCUUAACCUACAGAGGGACAAGAUUAGAACUGGGUCCUUGUUCCCCAUCAUCCUAGCUUGUGUUCCAGAAUUUUCCUGGCACCGGAGUCCCAACAAUUCCAGAGAUCACAGAGCAGGUGUAAGCACAGAAGUGUCUGUCUCCUCCUCGUCCUUGGCCAUGUUGUAUAAUUCCCCUCACCUUGUAAUGCUCUUCCUGUUGUCGUUAUGUAUGAGAAAAGCCAGGCAAGGGGCACAAUGAACACAAAAAUGCUCGGCCACUAAAUUUAGCUAAAAUUCGGUGGUGGGUUAACUUUAUCUUUUUUUUGGGGGGGUGGGGGUUCGUUUUGGAAUUUGUUUUGUUUUGUUUUGUUUUGUUUUGUUUGAGAAAGGAUCUCUAGAUCUCUUAGGUCCCACUGAAACUCUAUAUAUGGCUCAGGCUGACCUCCAACUUUUCUCUAUUGCGGCAGCCUAUCCCAGAGUAUGUGCAAUCGUGCCUGACUCAAGCCUUUUCUUUUGACUGGCACCCAACGGACCGGAACCAUUUCUUCAGGACGUUCUAUGCUCACGGCAGAGUUAAAAAGACCACUUGGAAGCCCAGGAAAUCCUUUUAUUGGAUUAAGAGCCCAUCGAGUCCUGGAAGAAUGGUUUAAAUUUGUGGUGAUGCAAAACCCAUGACAACAGUAAAUGACUCUUUAACUUCCUUAAAAAGUACACCAUGACAAUGAAGGAUGAACAGUCCCAUUUAAUUAAAAUCCGCCUACUGGCCUGGUCAGAUGGUAAAGCCACUUGCCUCCAAUCUUGGUGACCUCAGUUUGAUCCCCGGGGCCCACAUGGUAGCAGGGAAAAGCCAGCUCCAGCCAAGUCCUCCUCCGACCUCACAUGCACUGCGGCAAGUGCAUGCACAUGUAUGUGCGCCAAAACAAAUGAAUAAGGAAUUUAAAAAUCUGCCCAGAAAAGCAACUACCUCAGUACUCCCUUAACUCAAAAAUGUCUCCCGUAAAGAUUAUGGUUUUAACAUGGAAAUAAAAUAUCAAGUUAAACUCUCAUCUAAUUGCAUAGAAGAAGUGAACUCAGUAAUCCUGGAUAUUUGGGGGAUGCGUUUUUAAUAAGCUGGGAAGAGUUUGAAUGUUCAAACUGAAGUCCCACGACUAGCCUUAACUCAGAACUUGGCGGCUGUUGUGCUGCAGUUUUGAGAAGGAACAAUAAAAGCUGGCACUACAGUGGCACUGCAGUUGCUCUUCCACUUUUUUCCUUCCAGGGCCACGUGAAAAGGAAAAAAAAAAAAAAAAAGCACUGGCAAUUUAUCGCGUAGUCAUCUGACUCACUCUUCUUGGUUGGUCACAUGUAUUUCUCCUAAAUGAGGAUGGUGGGUAUUUUAAAUUUAUUAUUCUGCGGUAUUAAGGCUGCUAGGAGAAAAUAAAUAAAUAAAUAAAUAAAUAAACCAAAAGCAGCCUCCCCACUACACAGUCAGAAGGGAGAGGGGGCUGCAUUUUUUGAUGAGCCCAUGGCUUCAUUUUACACCAGCUCAACAAAUAUGAGAAAGUGAAAAUAUCUGAGUUACACAAUCAGAAAGAAUGAAAAUGAGUCAUGUUAAGGUGCUAAGAAAACUUCAGCCAUCUAGCGCCCUCAAUUUCAUCAUAGGACACCUGCUUUGGAUUCUCAGCCUCUCCAAUGUCAGGGAGAGACUACCAUAAUUGACUUUGAUCCCCCUAGAACUGUAAGCCAAAAAAAAAAAAAAAAUGAGUUCUUUCUUCCAUAAAUUGCUUUUGAUCAUUGUGUUUUAUCACAGCAACAGCACAGCAACUAAUACAGAAGUUGGUACCAGAGUGGACUGAAGCUGUGUAGCACUUGACAGUGGUGCUUUGAGGAGGAAGGUGGAAGACUGUGGAGAUCUGGACAAGAACAGCAGCUGGAUACUUUCGGCAGAACUUAGAAGGUAAUCCUAAGGGAAACCUGAAGGAUAACCAUACUGAGAGCAAUGAGGACUGUGGAGACCCAGAGCAAAAGGUUUCAGAGAGGAACCCAAUCAGCCAUUGGGCUCCAAGCCCUUGUGAUAUUUGGGCAAAGAAACUAAUGGCCCUAGGCUUUGAUCCUAAGAACUUGCCUAAGGGGAAAUUUUUAAAGUAAUAAUAAUUUCUUUGGUGAAUAAAAUGUCAAGACCACAUAACAUUGAGUCUGUGGCAUGGUUUUUAUUGAUAAUGCUUCAGAUCUAUGAUGGAAAAGAGCCAGAAAGACAAAAUGAACAUUUUGGUUUGCUAAGGAGCAUUGGGAAUCUUACUGCCCGCACUGAAAGGGAGGCUAUAAUUGCUCAGGAGUCAAGCAUCAUUAAGGAGAGGCCUGCUCUGCACUGGAAUGUGGUUAACACUCUGCCCAGCUGAGUGAUCCUCUAGAUUCUGAAAGGAAAAAGCCUAAGAGGUUGAUAGCCAAACUUAGCAGGUUUCUCAAUAUGAUGUUAUCUUAGAUGCAUGAAGGAGGCCAAGACUGGAUCAUAGACUCUUCUUCCUGGGUCUCAGGGAGUUGUUGGGGCCAGGAAAUGUGUGGAACAGGGGUCGCUACAUGAAGGCUUUGAGAAGGGAAGAGGCUCUCAGAACACAUUGCAGGAAACUGUGACAGUAAAGCUCUUGCAGUAAAGAUCCUAAAAUUUUGGUGAUUCAGCAGCCAUGGCUUACCUGCUGUGACAACUUAUAUUUUAAUUAUUGUGCCUAGAGAGACCCAUGAAAC
ensembl:processed_transcript